rfam:Brevibacillus choshinensis strain DSM 8552 scaffold2, whole genome shotgun sequence.
GCCGGUAUAGCUCAAUUGGUAGAGCACCUGACUUGUAAUCAGGGGGUUGUGGGUUCAAGUCCUAUUGCCGGCA